UAUCGACCCCGCGGUUUGGUACCUCGAUGUCGGCUUUUCCUAUCCUGGUCCUGCAGCAGGGGCCAAGGGUGAGGCUGCUCGCCUAUUAAAAGGGAACAUGAGCUGGGUUUAGACCGUCGUGAGACAGGUCGGUCUCUGCCUGAUGGAAGCGCGGCUGUCUGAGGGGAAGUUGCUCUCAGUACGAGAGGAACAGAGCAACGUGGCCACUGGUCUACCGGCUGUCUGAUAAGGCAGGCCGGGCAGCUAAGCCGUUUGGAUUAAGUGCUGAAAGCAUCUAAGCACGAAACCCAUCCCGAGACAAGACAGCCUUUCGUAAGAUGAAGGUUCGCAGAAGAAGACUGCGUUGAUAGGAUGGAUGUGUAGAUCACAAGCUUCGGCGAGUGGUGAGCAUGCCAUUACUAAUAGACCAACACAUCAGCACG
rnacentral:rRNA from 1 species